GACGAACGCUGGCGGCGUGCUUAACACAUGCAAGUCGAGCGGUAAGGCCCUUUCGGGGGUACACGAGCGGCGAACGGGUGAGUAACACGUGGGUGACCUGCCUUUAGCUCUGGGAUAAGCCUGGGAAACUGGGUCUAAUACCGGAUACGACUCCGCGGUGCAUGCUGUGGGGUGGAAAGCCUUGUGCGGCUGGAGAUGGGCCCGCGGCCUAUCAGCUUGUUGGUGGGGUGAUGGCCACCAAGGCGACGACGGGUAGCCGGCCUGAGAGGGCGACCGGCCACACUGGGACUGAGACACGGCCCAGACUCCUACGGGAGGCAGCAGUGGGGAAUCUUGCGCAAUGGGCGAAAGCCUGACGCAGCGACGCCGCGUGAGGGAUGACGGCCUCGGUUGUAACCGUACUUCU
rnacentral:rRNA from 1 species